rnacentral:rRNA from 1 species
GAGCGGGCGUAGCAAUACGUCAGCGGCAGACGGGUGAGUAACGCGUGGGAACGUACCCUUCAGUUCGGAACAACCCAGGGAAACUUGGGCUAAUACCGGAUACGUCCGUAAGGAGAAAGAUUUAUCGCUGAAGGAUCGGCCCGCGUCUGAUUAGCUUGUUGGUGAGGUAACGGCUCACCAAGGCGACGAUCAGUAGCUGGUCUGAGAGGAUGAUCAGCCUCACUGGGACUGAGACACGGCCCAGACUCCUACGGGAGGCAGCAGUGGGGAAUAUUGGACAAUGGGCGCAAGCCUGAUCCAGCCAUGCCGCGUGGGUGAUGAAGGCCCUAGGGUUGUAAAGCCCUUUCGGCGGGGAAGAUAAUGACGGUACCCGCAGAAGAAGCCCCGGCUAACUUCGUG